UACAGAGGCCUCGAGCGUUUAGGCGGAAUCACUGGGCUUAAAGCGUGUGUAGGCGGACUUCUAAGUACCUUGUGAAAUCCCACGGCUUACCCGUGGAACGGCGGAGGUAUACUGGGGAGUCUUGAGCCACCUAGGGGCGAGUGGAACAAAUGGUGGAGCGGUGAAAUGCGUAGAUAUCAGGAAGAACACCCGUGGCUAAGGCGGCUCUCUAGUACGGGUACUGACGCUGAGACGCGAAAAGCGUGGGGAGCGAACAGG
rnacentral:rRNA from 1 species